GCAGGAAGACUUGGAAUUUUGCCUUUGUCUUAGCUCCUCAAAAGAGAAAUAGGUAAGCCUUCGGAAGAAUUAACGUGCCCGGUGCCUUUUGACGCGCUCCCGCUGUUUAGAAACCUCUCUACCUGCACGUUCUGUAAAUUUCAUUCUAACACCACUUUGUGGUGGCCUAGACCAGGAAUCCCGGCGCUUCCGAGGCUGAGACAGCAGGAUCUCCGUGAGCCGGAGGCUGGGGUUGGGCUGCACGGAUCUGUGAUUCCAGUGCUGCCCUUGGUGAUUCACGGAGAAGGUUAUUUUACCCUGGGGACAGAGUGCCACACAAAGACUUUCCUGCUGCUGAAUGUGUGA
rnacentral:lncRNA from 1 species